GGGGGCGUGCUUUACCAUGCCAAGUGGAACGGCAGCACGGUUGCUUCCWAYUGGGUGGCGAGUGGGGRACGCUSUAAUAAUACAUUCGWACAUGUCWUGUAGUGGGGSAUAAGCCUGUGAGAUCCGWUUUAUWCCGCUUACGAUCAAGGGAUGAAGCGGGGGARCUUCGGCUCUMGCCUAAAGGGUCGCCGAUGGUUAAUAUCUAUGUGGGGGGAAAAMCCUUCCAUGGUAAUAUUAUUAGUGGUCUGGGAGGACGACCAGCCACACUGGGACUGAGACACGGCCCAGACUCCUACGGGAGGCAGCAGUGGGGAAUUUUGGACAAUGGGCGAAAGCCUGAUCCAGCAAUGCCGCGUGUGUGAAGAAGGCCUUCGGGUUGUAAAGCACUUUUGUCCGGAAAGAAAUCCUUGGC
rnacentral:rRNA from 1 species